AGUGAACGCUGGCGGUAGGCCUAACACAUGCAAGUCGAACGGCAGCACAGUAAGAGCUUGCUCUUACGGGUGGCGAGUGGCGGACGGGUGAGGAAUACAUCGGAAUCUACUUUUUCGUGGGGGAUAACGUAGGGAAACUUACGCUAAUACCGCAUACGACCUACGGGUGAAAGCAGGGGAUCUUCGGACCUUGCGCGAUUGAAUGAGCCGAUGUCGGAUUAGCUAGUUGGCGGGGUAAAGGCCCACCAAGGCGACGAUCCGUAGCUGGUCUGAGAGGAUGAUCCGCCACACUGGAACUUGAACACGGUCCAGGCUCCUAAGGGAGGCAGCAGUGGGGAAUAUUGGACAAUGGGGGCAAGCCUGAUCCAACCAUACCGCGUGGGUGGAAGAGGCCUUCGGGUUGUAAAGCCCUUUUGUUGGGAAAGAAAAGCAGCAGGUUAAUACCCCGCUGUUCUGACGGUACCCAAAGAAUAAGCACCGGCUAACUUCGUG
rnacentral:rRNA from 1 species